rnacentral:rRNA from 1 species
UACGUAGGGUGCAAGCGUUAUUCGGAAUUACUGGGCGUAAAGCGUGCGCAGGCGGUUAUUCAAGUCAGUUGUGAAAUCCCCGGGCUCAACCUGGGAACUGCAUCUGUGACUGCAUUGCUGGAGUGCGGCAGAGGGGGAUGGAAUUCCGCGUGUAGCAGUGAAAUGCGUAGAUAUGCGGAGGAACACCGAUGGCGAAGGCGAUCCCCUGGGCCUGCACUGACGCUCAUGCACGAAAGCGUGGGGAGCAAACAGG